AUUGAACGCUGGCGGCAGGCCUAACACAUGCAAGUCGAACGAGUGGCGGACGGGUGAGUAAUGUCUGGGAAACUGCCCGAUGGAGGGGGAUAACUACUGGAAACGGUAGCUAAUACCGCAUACCAUCGGAUUUGCCCAGAUGGGAGUAGCUUGUAGGUGAGGUAACGGCUCACCUAGGCGACGAUCCCUAGCUGGUCUGAGAGGAUGACAAGCCACACUGGAACUGUGACACGGUGCGGACUCGUACGGGAGGCAGCAGUGGGGAAUAUUGGACAAUGGGCGCAAGCUUGAUGCAGCCAUGCCGCGUGUAUGAAGAAGGCCGUAGGGUUGUAAAGUACUUUCAGCGGGGAGGCGUUACUAGCAGAGGAAGCACCGGCUAACUCCGUGCCAGCCGCCGCGGUAAUAC
rnacentral:rRNA from 1 species